rnacentral:rRNA from 1 species
AACGCUAGCUACAGGCUUAACACAUGCAAGUCGAGGGGCAGCAUGAACUCAGCUUGCUAAGUUUGAUGGCGACCGGCGCACGGGUGAGUAACACGUAUCCAACCUGCCGAUGACUCGGGGAUAGCCUUUCGAAAGAAAGAUUAAUACCCGAUGGCAUAGUUCUUCCGCAUGGUAGAACUAUUAAAGAAUUUCGGUCAUCGAUGGGGAUGCGUUCCAUUAGGUUGUUGGCGGGGUAACGGCCCACCAAGCCUUCGAUGGAUAGGGGUUCUGAGAGGAAGGUCCCCCACAUUGGAACUGAGACACGGUCCAAACUCCUACGGGAGGCAGCAGUGAGGAAUAUUGGUCAAUGGACGAGAGUCUGAACCAGCCAAGUAGCGUGAAGGAUGACUGCCCUAUGGGUUGUAAACUUCUUUUAUACGGGAAUAAAAUGUUUGACGUGUCAUACAUUGUAGGUACCGCAAGAAUAAGGACCGGCUAAUUCCGUGCCAGCAGCCGCGGUAGUACGGAAGGUCCAGGCGUUAUCCGGAUUUAUUGGGUUUAAAGGGAGCGUAGGCCGCAAGUCAAGCGUGUUGUGAAAUGCAGGGGCUCAACCUCUGAAUUGCAGCGCGAACUGGUUUCCUUGAGUACGCACAAAGUGGGCGGAAUUCGUGGUGUAGCGGUGAAAUGCUUAGAUAUCACGAAGAACUCCGAUUG